rnacentral:misc_RNA from 1 species
GAUGAAGAACGUAGUGAAAUGCGAUAAGUAGUGUGAAUUGCAGAAUUCAGUGAAUCAUCGAAUCUUUGAACGCACAUUGCGCCCCUUGGUAUUCCAUGGGGCAUGCCUGUUCGAGCGUCAUUUGUACCUUCAAGCUCUGCUUGGUGUUGGGUGUUUGUCUCGCCUCUGCGUGUAGACUCGCCUCAAAAUAAUUGGCAGCCGGCGUAUUGAUUUCGGAGCGCAGUACAUCUCGCGCUUUGCACUCAUAACGACGACGUCCAAAAGUACAUUUUUACACUCUUGACCUCGGAUCAGGUAGGAUACCCGCUGAACUUAAGCAUAUCAAUAAGCGGAGGA